UACGAAGGGGGCUAGCGUUGCUCGGAAUGACUGGGCGUAAAGGGCGCGUAGGCGGAUGGCACAGUCAGAUGUGAAAUUCCUGGGCUUAACCUGGGGGCUGCAUUUGAUACGUGUGGUCUGGAGUGAGGAAGAGGGUUGUGGAAUUCCCAGUGUAGAGGUGAAAUUCGUAGAUAUUGGGAAGAACACCGGUGGCGAAGGCGGCGACCUGGUCCUUAACUGACGCUGAGGCGCGAAAGCAUGGGGAGCGAACAGG
rnacentral:rRNA from 1 species